rnacentral:tRNA from 1 species
GGUCGGGUGGCGCAAUGGUAGCGCGCAAGUUUCCGGUACUUGAGGUUUGCGGGUUCGAGUCCCGUCUCGAUCG